AAACAUUGAUAGAUAUAAUACAACUUCUAUCCGCCAGGGAACUACGGGCAUCAGCCUAAAACCCAAAGGACUUGGCGGUGCUUUAGACCCACCUAGAGGAGCCUGUCCUAGAACCGAUAACCCCCGUUCAACCUCACCACUUCUUGCCUAACCCGUCUAUAUACCGCCGUCGUCAGCUUACCCCGUGAGGGACCAAUAGUAAGCUAAACUGGCACAGCCCAAAACGUCAGGUCGAGGUGUAGCACACGAAGUGCGGAAGAGAUGGGCUACAUUUUCUGACCCAGAAAACCACGAAGGGAGAAAUGAAAAAAUUCCUGAAGGAGGAUUUAGCAGUAAGCAGGAAAUAGAGUGCCCU
rnacentral:rRNA from 1 species